AACACAUGCAAGUCGAGCGGAUGAAGGGAGCUUGCUCCUGGAUUCAGCGGCGGACGGGUGAGUAAUGCCUAGGAAUCUGCCUGGUAGUGGGGGACAACGUUUCGAAAGGAACGCUAAUACCGCAUACGUCCUACGGGAGAAAGCAGGGGACCUUCGGGCCUUGCGCUAUCAGAUGAGCCUAGGUCGGAUUAGCUAGUUGGUGAGGUAAUGGCUCACCAAGGCGACGAUCCGUAACUGGUCUGAGAGGAUGAUCAGUCACACUGGAACUGAGACACGGUCCAGACUCCUACGGGAGGCAGCAGUGGGGAAUAUUGGACAAUGGGCGAAAGCCUGAUCCAGCCAUGCCGCGUGUGUGAAGAAGGUCUUCGGAUUGUAAAGCACUUUAAGUUGGGAGGAANGGUUGUAAAUUAAUACUCUGCAAUUUUGACGUUACCGACAGAAUAAGCACCGGCUAACUCUGUGCCANCAGCCGCGGUAAUACAGAGGGUGCAAGCGUUAAUCGGAAUUACUGGGCGUAAA
rnacentral:rRNA from 1 species